UCUUUGUUCAUGAAGAUUUAAGAUCCAAGCAAUACCGGUUACAUUACGUAUUGUGAUUCUUUUAUUUAUGAUUCCUAGAUGAUUUGUUCUUAUUCAGUUACAAGCAGUGAAUUUGUGUUCAUUCCCUUUAUGCAUCCACCAUUUUUUGAUUAUGGUAAUGAUAUUGCCCUGAAGGGGUCCAGCUUGCUGUUACAACUCUGGAUCAAUUCUGUCGCAUACCCUUUCUGAUCGGACUUAUGUUUAGCGGUUGUGAUGGAUCUUAUCAGCAGUUGUGACUUCUUCCGUCACUUGAUCCGAUGUUGGAUUUGGCUUGUUGUAAUAGCAGUGAUUUGCUGAGACAGCAUUACUUCUUACUGGCAUGCUUUUCCUGUAUAAUUAACUUAUCAGAUCAGGACUUGGAUGUUAGACUAUUUAGAAUGUAUAGUUUUCUUGUUUCUGGCAUCCCAGAUUAAUUUUAUCAUUUGCAGCAAGCCUUUUCCAUUCAUAUUAAGGGAAGGGACA
rnacentral:lncRNA from 1 species